rnacentral:rRNA from 1 species
CCGCGUGCGGGAUGGAGGCCUUCGGGUUGUAAACCGCUUUUGUUCAAGGGCAAGGCACGGUCUUUGGCCGUGUUGAGUGGAUUGUUCGAAAUAAGCACCGGCUAACUACGUCGCC